rnacentral:rRNA from 1 species
GAUGAACGCUAGCUACAGGCUUAACACAUGCAAGUCGAGGGGAAACGACAUCGAAAGCUUGCUUUUGAUGGGCGUCGACCGGCGCACGGGUGAGUAACGCGUAUCCAACCUGCCCACCACUUGGGGAUAACCUUGCGAAAGUAAGACUAAUACCCAAUGAUAUCUCUAGAAGACAUCUGAAAGAGAUUAAAGAUUUAUCGGUGAUGGAUGGGGAUGCGUCUGAUUAGCUUGUUGGCGGGGUAACGGCCCACCAAGGCAACGAUCAGUAGGGGUUCUGAGAGGAAGGUCCCCCACAUUGGAACUGAGACACGGUCCAAACUCCUACGGGAGGCAGCAGUGAGGAAUAUUGGUCAAUGGACGAGAGUCUGAACCAGCCAAGUAGCGUGCAGGAAGACGGCCCUAUGGGUUGUAAACUGCUUUUAUAAGGGAAUAAAGUGAGUCUCGUGAGACUUUUUGCAUGUACCUUAUGAAUAAGAACCGGCUAAUUCCGUG